rnacentral:rRNA from 2 species
UUAAGCGACUAAGCGUACACGGUGGAUGCCCUGGCAGUCAGAGGCGAUGAAGGACGUGCUAAUCUGCGAAAAGCGUCGGUAAGGUGAUAUGAACCGUUAUAACCGGCGAUGUCCGAAUGGGGAAACCCAGUGCAAUUCGUUGCACUAUCGUUAACUGAAUACAUAGGUUAACGAGGCGAACCGGGGGAACUGAAACAUCUAAGUACCCCGAGGAAAAGAAAUCAACCGAGAUUCCCCCAGUAGCGGCGAGCGAACGGGGAGCAGCCCAGAGUCUGAAUCAGCUUGUGUGUUAGUGGAACGGUCUGGAAAGUCCGACGGUACAGGGUGAUAGUCCCGUACACCAAAAUGCACAGGUUGUGAACUCGAAGAGUAGGGCGGGACACGUGGUAUCCUGUCUGAAUAUGGGGGGACCAUCCUCCAAGGCUAAAUACUCCUGACUGACCGAUAGUGAACCAGUACCGUGAGGGAAAGGCGAAAAGAACCCCGGCGAGGGGAGUGAAAAAGAACCUGAAACCGUGUACGUACAAGCAGUGGGAGCACCUUCGGGUGUGACUGCGUACCUUUUGUAUAAUGGGUCAGCGACUUAUAUUCUGUAGCAAGGUUAACCGUAUAGGGGAGCCGCAGGGAAACCGAGUCUUAACUGGGCGUUAAGUUGCAGGGUAUAGACCCGAAACCCGGUGAUCUAGCCAUGGGCAGGUUGAAGGUUGGGUAACACUAACUGGAGGACCGAACCGACUAAUGUUGAAAAAUUAGCGGAUGACUUGUGGCUGGGGGUGAAAGGCCAAUCAAACCGGGAGAUAGCUGGUUCUCCCCGAAAGCUAUUUAGGUAGCGCCUCGUGAACUCAUCUUCGGGGGUAGAGCACUGUUUCGGCUAGGGGGUCAUCCCGACUUACCAACCCGAUGCAAACUACGAAUACCGAAGAAUGUUAUCACGGGAGACACACGGCGGGUGCUAACGUCCGUCGUGAAGAGGGAAACAACCCAGACCGCCAGCUAAGGUCCCAAAGUCAUGGUUAAGUGGGAAACGAUGUGGGAAGGCACAGACAGCCAGGAUGUUGGCUUAGAAGCAGCCAUCAUUUAAAGAAAGCGUAAUAGCUCACUGGUCGAGUCGGCCUGCGCGGAAGAUGUAACGGGGCUAAACCAUGCACCGAAGCUGCGGCAGCGACGCUUAUGCGUUGUUGGGUAGGGGAGCGUUCUGUAAGCCUGCGAAGGUGACCUGUGAGGGUUGCUGGAGGUAUCAGAAGUGCGAAUGCUGACAUAAGUAACGAUAAAGCGGGUGAAAAGCCCGCUCGCCGGAAGACCAAGGGUUCCUGUCCAACGUUAAUCGGGGCAGGGUGAGUCGACCCCUAAGGCGAGGCCGAAAGGCGUAGUCGAUGGGAAACAGGUUAAUAUUCCUGUACUUGGUGUUACUGCGAAGGGGGGACGGAGAAGGCUAUGUUAGCCGGGCGACGGUUGUCCCGGUUUAAGCAUGUAGGCUGGUUGUCCAGGCAAAUCCGGAUAAUCAAGGCUGAGGUGUGAUGACGAGGCACUACGGUGCUGAAGUAACAAAUGCCCUGCUUCCAGGAAAAGCCUCUAAGCAUCAGGUAACAUCAAAUCGUACCCCAAACCGACACAGGUGGUCAGGUAGAGAAUACCAAGGCGCUUGAGAGAACUCGGGUGAAGGAACUAGGCAAAAUGGUGCCGUAACUUCGGGAGAAGGCACGCUGGUGUGUAGGUGAAGUCCCUGCGGAUGGAGCUGAGACCAGUCGAAGAUACCAGCUGGCUGCAACUGUUUAUUAAAAACACAGCACUGUGCAAACACGAAAGUGGACGUAUACGGUGUGACGCCUGCCCGGUGCCGGAAGGUUAAUUGAUGGGGUUAUCCGUAAGGAGAAGCUCUUGAUCGAAGCCCCGGUAAACGGCGGCCGUAACUAUAACGGUCCUAAGGUAGCGAAAUUCCUUGUCGGGUAAGUUCCGACCUGCACGAAUGGCGUAAUGAUGGCCAGGCUGUCUCCACCCGAGACUCAGUGAAAUUGAACUCGCUGUGAAGAUGCAGUGUACCCGCGGCAAGACGGAAAGACCCCGUGAACCUUUACUAUAGCUUGACACUGAACAUUGAGCCUUGAUGUGUAGGAUAGGUGGGAGGCUUUGAAGCGUGGACGCCAGUCUGCGUGGAGCCAACCUUGAAAUACCACCCUUUAAUGUUUGAUGUUCUAACGUUGGCCCCUUACCGGGGUUGCGGACAGUGUCUGGUGGGUAGUUUGACUGGGGCGGUCUCCUCCCAAAGCGUAACGGAGGAGCACGAAGGUUAGCUAAUCCUGGUCGGACAUCAGGAGGUUAGUGCAAUGGCAUAAGCUAGCUUGACUGCGAGCGUGACGGCGCGAGCAGGUGCGAAAGCAGGUCAUAGUGAUCCGGUGGUUCUGAAUGGAAGGGCCAUCGCUCAACGGAUAAAAGGUACUCCGGGGAUAACAGGCUGAUACCGCCCAAGAGUUCAUAUCGACGGCGGUGUUUGGCACCUCGAUGUCGGCUCAUCACAUCCUGGGGCUGAAGUAGGUCCCAAGGGUAUGGCUGUUCGCCAUUUAAAGUGGUACGCGAGCUGGGUUUAGAACGUCGUGAGACAGUUCGGUCCCUAUCUGCCGUGGGCGCUGGAGAAUUGAGGGGGGCUGCUCCUAGUACGAGAGGACCGGAGUGGACGCAUCACUGGUGUUCGGGUUGUCAUGCCAAUGGCACUGCCCGGUAGCUAAAUGCGGAAGAGAUAAGUGCUGAAAGCAUCUAAGCACGAAACUUGCCCCGAGAUGAGUUCUCCCUGAGACUUUAAGUCUCCUGAAGGAACGUUAAAGACGAUGACGUUGAUAGGCCGGGUGUGUAAGCGCAGCGAUGCGUUGAGCUAACCGGUACUAAUGAACCGUGAGGCUUAACCUU